rnacentral:rRNA from 1 species
UACGUAGGAAGCAAGCGUUAUCCGGAUUUACUGGGCGUAAAGUGAGCGUAGGUGGCCUUUCAAGUCAGAUGUGAAAUCUCCUGGCUUAACCAGGAGGGGUCAUUUGAUACUGUUGGGCUAGAGGACAUCAAGGGAAGGUGGAAUUCCGGGUGUAGUGGUGAAAUGCGUAGAUAUCCGGAGGAACACCAGUGGCGAAGGCGGCCUUCUGGGAUGUUUCUGACACUGAGGCUCGAAAGUGUGGGGAGCGAACAGG